rnacentral:misc_RNA from 1 species
UCCUGGUUUCCCAGGCAGUCCCAUCAGAGUGCCUCCUCACGGAGUAGCAACUGAUGGCAAGGGUUGCGCUCGUUAUAGGACUUAACCCAACAUCUCACGACACGAGCUGACGACAGCCAUGCAACACCUGUGAAUCUGUCCAUGGUUUCCCAUGGAAAACUCUAUUUCUAGAGCGAUCAGAAACAUGUCAAGCCUAGGUAAGGUUCCUCGCGUAGUGUCGAAUUAAACCACAUGUUCCACCGCUUGUGCGGACCCCCGUCAAUUCCUUUGAGUUUUAAUCUUGCGACCGUAAUCCCCAGGCGGAUCAUUUAACGCGUUAGCUACGACACUGAUUCUGCUAAGCAAAACCAACGUCUAAUGAUCAUCGUUUACGGCGUGGACUAC